UCUACCCAAGGGUGGGGUAUAGCCUCGGGAAACUGAGGGUAAUCCCCCAUAGGGAACAAGUGCUGGAAUGCUAUGUUCCCGAAAGUUUCGACGCCCUUGGACGAGUUGGCGGCUGAUUAGGUUGUUGGUGGGGUAAUGGCCUACCAAGCCGAAGAUCAGUAAGGGCCUUGAGAGAGGUUGCCCUAAGAAGGGUACUGAGACACUGACCCUAGCCCUACGGGGUGCAGCAGGCGCGAAAACUCUCCAAUGCACGAAAGUGUGAGAGGGGAAUCCCUAGUGCUCAUGCACAGCAUGGGCUUUUGCCAUGAUUAAAACUCAUGGCGAAUAAGUGGUGGGCAAGACUGGUGCCAGCAGCCGCGGUAACCCCAGCGCCACAAGUAGCGGUCACUUUUAUUGGGCCUAAAGCGUCCGUAGCCGGUUCUGUAAAUCUUUUGUGAAAUAGUCGAGCUUAACUCGCCUACGUGCAGAAGACACUGCAGAACUUGGGACCGGGAGGGGUCAGGAGUAUGCCGUGGGGAGCGGUAAAAUGUUAUAAUCCUCGGUAGACUACCAGUGGCGAAGGCGCCUGACCAGAACGGAUCCGACGGUGAGGGACGAAAGCUAGGGGAGCAAAACGGAUUAGAUACCCGUGUAGUCCUAGCCGUAAACGCUGCGAACUAGGUGUUACGUAUUCUACAAGAAUGCGUGGUGUCGGAGUGAAGAUGUUAAGUUCGCCGCCUGGGAAGUACGGUCGCAAGGCUGAAACUUAAAGGAAUUGGCGGGGGAGCACUACAAGGGGUGCGGCGUGCGGUUUAAUCCAAUUCAACGCGGAGAAUCUCACCAGAGGCGACGGCAGGAUGACGGUCAGGUUAAUGACUUUACCCGACGAGCCGAGAGGAGGUGCAUGGCCGCCGCCAGCUCGUGUCGUAAGACGUCCUGUUAAGUCAGGCAACGAGCAAGACCUAUGCUUACAAUUGCUAACGAGCCCUUCAGGGUGAUUGAGCAAAUUGUAGGGACUGCCCGCGUAAGUGGGAGGAAGGCGUAGGCAACGGUAGGUCCGUAUGCCCCGAAUCUUCUGGGCUACACGCGCGCAACAAUGGUAGGGACAAUGGGAUGCAACCCCGAAAGGGGAAGCUAAACCUCUAAACCCUAUCCCAGUCCGGAUUGAGCUUUGUAACUCAGGCUCAUGACGUCGGAAUCCCUAGUAAUCAGAAGUAAUCAUCUUCUGGUGAAUACGUCCCUGCUCCUUGCACACACCGCCCGUCAAACCAACCGAGCAGGGUUUAGGCGAGGAUUGGCUUUAUGGUCAAGACGAAUCUAAGCUCAGUGAGGUGGGUUAAGUCGUCACAAGGUA
rnacentral:rRNA from 1 species